rnacentral:rRNA from 1 species
AUUGAACGCUGGCGGCAGGCCUAACACAUGCAAGUCGAGCGGAUGAAGGGAGCUUGCUCCUGGAUUCAGCGGCGGACGGGUGAGUAAUGCCUAGGAAUCUGCCUGGUAGUGGGGGAUAACGUCCGGAAACGGGCGCUAAUACCGCAUACGUCCUGAGGGAGAAAGUGGGGGAUCUUCGGACCUCACGCUAUCAGAUGAGCCUAGGUCGGAUUAGCUAGUUGGUGGGGUAAAGGCCUACCAAGGCGACGAUCCGUAACUGGUCUGAGAGGAUGAUCAGUCAAACUGAACUGAGACACGGUCCAGACUCCUACGGGAGGCAGCAGUGGGGAAUAUUGGACAAUGGGCGAAAGCCUGAUCCAGCCAUGCCGCGUGUGUGAAGAAGGUCUUCGGAUUGUAAAGCACUUUAAGUUGGGAGGAAGGGCAGUAAGUUAAUACCUUGCUGUUUUGACGUUACCAACAGAAUAAGCACCGGCUAACUUCGUG